GGUCCUGGUCUCAGGUCCUGGUCUCAGGUCCCGGUCUCAGGUCCCGGUCUCAGGUCCCGGUCUCAGGUCCCGGUCUCAGGUUCCGGUCUCAGGUCCCGGUCUCAGGUCCCGGUCUCAGAUCCCGGUCUCAGGUCCCGGUCUCAGAUUCCGGUCUCAGGUCCUGGUCUCAGGUUCCGGUCUCAGGUCCUGGUCUCAGGUCCUGGUCUCAGGUUCUGGUCUCAGGUCCCGGUCUCAGGUCCCGGUCUCAGGUCCCGGUCUCAGGUCCCGGUCUCAGGUCCCGGUCUCAGGUUCCGGUCUCAGGUCCCGGUCUCAGGUCCCGGUCUCAGGUUCCGGUCUCAGGUCCCGGUCUCAGGUCCCGGUCUCAGAUCCUGGUCUCAGGUUCUGGUCUCAGGUCCUGGUCUCAGGUCCCGGUCUCAGGUCCCGGUCUCAGGUCCCGGUCUCAGGUCCCGGUCUCAGGUCCUGGUCUCAGGUUCUGGUUCUGAUGCGUCUGUGCUUGUGG